AAGAGUCCUUUCAAUGCAGCUGUCCAUCAGGCUUCCGGCUCGACACCAACAAUAAUACUUGCAUUGGUGGUUGUUUGCUGCAUCAGAUUUAAACGAUGCAUUCGUUUUGAAAAGAUUGUUAAAUCACUUUAAUAUCAAAGAAAGAUAAUAAAAUAAAUAAAAAAGUGUCAAUGCAAUUUGCAAUUUCUGUCUUCAUAUAUAAACGAAUGCUCUGUUUCGAAUGGCAACUGUUCUCACAUCUGCGAGAAUACAGAAGGGUCAUAUCGAUGCAGUUGUCCGUCAGGCUUUCAACUUGAAAACAACAAUAAAACUUGCAUUGAUGUAAACGAAUGCUCUGGUUCGAAUGGCAACUGUUCUCACAUCUGCGUGAAUACAGAAGGGCCAUAUCAAUGCAGAUGUCCGUCAGGCUUUCAACUCGAAAACAACAAUGACACUUGCAUUGGUAGAUUUUUGUAGAAUCAUAGAUAUAAACGAAUGCUUUGUUUCGAAUGGCAACUGUUUUCACACCUGCCAGAAUACAGAAGGGUCAUAUCGAUGCAGUUGUCCGUCAGGCUUUC